rnacentral:rRNA from 1 species
UGAGUAACCUGCCCUUAACUUCGGGAUAAGCCUGGGAAACCGGGUCUAAUACCGGAUACAACGGACCACCGCAUGGCGGUCCGUGGAAAGCUUUAUGCGGUUUUGGAUGGACUCGCGGCCUAUCAGCUAGUUGGUUGGGGUAAUGGCUCACCAAGGCGACGACGGGUAGCCGGCCUGAGAGGGUGACCGGCCACACUGGGACUGAGACACGGCCCAGACUCCUACGGGAGGCAG